GUCAGGAGCAUUUAUGUUAGAGGGGUACCUGUAACCAAAGACCACUAAUUCAUUUCAGAUUUUAGCAAAAGAUAUGAACAAAGCUACAGCACCAGCCGGCCAAAACCUCAGGAAAUGAAGAAAGCACGUAGUCCUCAUCACAAGAAGAAUCAAUUCUCCGAUUUUCACUUUGAAGAUGACUACACUAAUAAAACUAAGCAACAGAGCAGAAGCCAUUCUACCCUGAAGCAUAUCAAGGCUGCAGUGAAGAAAGUUUUCACAGUUCUUCUUUUUCGAAGAAAGGUCAACUCCAAGGCUUCUGUUUCUGUAAUUGAUCCAAGAAGAAACAGUAGUAGUAUCAAAGGAGUCUCCUCUUCAACCGAUCGUUCAUCAGGGAGUACUGACACUAAGAACUCUUCAAAGUUCAAGUUAUCUGGGUCCUAUGGUUCUUCUGCUACCCUGAGUGGGAUAAUUGAGACGAAAAAUUUCUCAUACGAAGAGAUUUUCAAGGCUACUGAAAAGUUUUCUGAAGCAAAUAGAAUUGGUGAGGGUGCUUUUGGGACAGUUUACAGGGGAAGGCUUGGGGAUGGAUCUCUUGUUGCUGUAAAGCGUGCCAAGAAGACAUCAUCUGACAAGCUCUUACAAUUGGAGUUCAAGAAUGAAAUACUCACCUUGUCCAUGAUUGAGCAUCUGAACCUGGUAAGAUUAUAUGGGUAUUUGGAGCAUGCGGACGAGCGGAUAAUUUUGGUCGAAUAUGUUGGCAAUGGAAACCUACGGGAACAUCUGGAUGGUACGCGAGGAAAUGGACUUGAAAUGGCAGAACGUUUAGACAUUGCAAUUGAUGUGGCUCAUGCAGUUACCUACCUUCACAUGUACACAGAUCCUCCAAUAAUCCAUAGAGACAUAAAAUCGUUAAACAUCCUCAUCACAGAGAAGUUACGGGCGAAAGUGGCGGACUUUGGGUUUGCACGGUUGUCUGCAGACUCUGAUGCAACUCAUAUAUCGACUCAGGUUAAAGGAACGGCAGGCUACUUGGAUCCUGAGUACCUCAAGACUUAUCAGCUUACCGAAAAGAGUGAUGUUUAUUCCUUUGGUGUGUUGCUUGUAGAAUUAAUGACAGGAAGACGACCAAUCGAACCCAACAAGCCAAACAACGAAAGAUUAACAACAAGAUGGGCAAUCCAAACAUUAAAACGAGGAGAAGCUAUACUCGUCAUGGAUCCAAGGCUACGGAGAAACGCGGCAUCAACCAUGGCAAUGGAGAAAGUCCUCACUCUAGCUCACAAGUGCCUUGCACCUUUAAGACAAUCAAGACCCUCUAUGAAAAACUGUGGCGAAGUAUUAUGGGGGAUACGCAAGGAAUUCAGAGAGAAAGCCUUCCCUCCUCCUCCUCCUACACCCUCUCACUACUCUGCCAAUUAUCCUGUGAGAGAUCCUAUGAUGACCAGGCAGCACACAUUUGGGAUCGAAGAUGAUGAUAAGUAUAAAUUUAUCUCUGCAUAACUUUCAAGAACUUGAAGGGAAUGCACAUUAUUAUUAUUAUUUUUGCUCAUGGAUUGAUACCGAUAUGUAAAGCCUUGUCUACUAUCGCAUCGUGAAUUUAAUUCAAUUCAGAUCAUGUGCUUUCUGUCUAAAGAUUUAAGAGGGCAUGUCGAUCCCCAAAAACAACUGUUGUGAUUUAUUCAAUUCCUUCAUCACUUUCCGAUUGGGGCAAAUUUAUCUUACCGGUCACUCACCCAGCGGUAAGAAAUUGGCGCUUUGUAAGAAGCCACGCGUCACCUUGUGAGCGAGUUGAAAAAAGAGAAGCAUUUAAAAAUGGGAAGAAAGAAAAUAUCGAAAUGUGAUCCCCGAAAGAAGCAAAAGCGUGGCACUGGCGUCACUCACUCCCAAAGCACACUACCCGCUCUCUUUUUGGCUCCUUCUCCAUGUGAUCGUUCACGUUCCCCUCAAUCUUCAAACCCAUCUUCCCCCAAAUCAAAUCUCUCUGGCUGACUCGUCUUCUUCUUUGCUCUAAAAAUAUCUCAAAGAUUCUCCUGUAUAUUCCCUUAUAUAUGCUCCAUUUCUCCACCUGAUUAUUUACACAUCUCUGAGGACUCUCAAAGCCUCACAAUAUCACUCUCUCGCUAAAAUGUAAUUUGCUUCCU